CAGUCGCCGCGGUAAUACGUAGGGUGCGAGCGUUAAUCGGAAUUACUGGGCGUAAAGCGUGCGCAGGCGGUUCGUUAAGACAGAUGUGAAAUCCCCGGGCUUAACCUGGGAACUGCAUUUGUGACUGGCGAGCUAGAGUAUGGCAGAGGGGGGUAGAAUUCCACGUGUAGCAGUGAAAUGCGUAGAGAUGUGGAGGAAUACCGAUGGCGAAGGCAGCCCCCUGGGCCAAUACUGACGCUCAUGCACGAAAGCGUGGGGAGCAAACAGGAUUAGAGACCCGCGUAGUCCCUGUCUCUUAUAC
rnacentral:rRNA from 1 species